AAGUAUAAUUAUUUUUUUUAAAUCUUAGUAUGGUAUUUUCGAUAGCAUUAUUUUGAAAUUUUAUUUCAAACACUUCUUUUUUAAUUGAAAAACAAAAAAUAAGAAUAAACACAAACAGAUAAAAUUUUGUUGACUUUUCUCAGUCAACUUAUAAUUUUAUAUAAUUUCACGACAAAAUAUUGUAUAUUUUAUUUUUGUUAUAUUCUUUUGCCGAACGGUUGCGUUAUUUUGACUCGAUAUUCAAAAAUCAACUGAAACACUUUGAUUCGAAUUCCGGUUGUAUUAUGUGAAUUUUUACCGCGAUAUCAUCCCGAAGGCUUUAAUAAAAACCACCACAAAGAACGGGGAACGAGCCAACAACUGAUAAAACAAAUUUUCAAACUACAUACGGAGAGCUGAAAUCAAAAGUCUUGUGUUUUUUCGAGAUAGAAGAUACAUUUUGACUUGGCUAAAACACAGAAAAAUUCAAGUGACACUUUCCAAACUUGUUAUUUUGUUAUUGUCAUUUCUCAAAUUGAAUAUCGAAAAAAAUCAACAUCAAAGAAAAUAUAAAACGCGAACUGCAGGAAAACUGAUCGCAGUCAGAGAAGCGAUUACAUUAACAUUGUAGACAAUAAGGGAAAUGAUGUUGCGAUGAUAAUAAAAAAAAGGAUCUUGGUUCGAUAGGAGGGUCGCUGGCUAAAACAGAUGCUGAUAUAACCUAGAGAUUGCCAGAAACGUGUUAUUCUCUUUUACUUCAUAGUUAUCCAAUAUUAAGUAAAAAUAUAAUGAAUGUGACUGUUUCUAUAUCCAAACGAUAUCUUUUGUAGAAAUCCUUGUCGUUUAAUAUAAAUGAAUU